rnacentral:rRNA from 1 species
UACGAAGGGGGGCUAGCGUUGCUCGGAAUUACUGGGCGUAAAGCGAGUGUAGGUGGUUGUCACAGUCAGGUGUGAAAGCCUUGAGCUCAACUCAAGAAAUGCACUUGAUACUAGGCGACUAGAGGACCGGAGAGGAUAGUGGAAUUCCCAGUGUAGUGGUGAAAUACGUAGAGAUUGGGAAGAACACCAGUGGCGAAGGCGGCUAUCUGGACGGUUUCUGACACUAAGACUCGAAAGCGUGGGGGAGCAAACAGG